UACGGAGGGUGCAAGCGUUGUUCGGAAUCACUGGGCGUAAAGCGCACGUAGGCGGACGCUUAAGUCAGGGGUGAAAUCCCGAGGCUCAACCUCGGAACUGCCUUUGAUACUGGGUGUCUUGAGUCCGGGAGAGGUGAGUGGAACUGCGAGUGUAGAGGUGAAAUUCGUAGAUAUUCGCAAGAACACCAGUGGCGAAGGCGGCUCACUGGCCCGGAACUGACGCUGAGGUGCGAAAGCGUGGGGAGCAAACAGG
rnacentral:rRNA from 1 species